UCCCUGGUGGUCCAGUGGUUAGGACUCCAAGCUUCCAAUGCCGGGGCCCGGGUUCAAUCCCUGGUCGGGGAA